GGCGGACGGGUGAGUAACGCGUAAAGAACUUGCCCUUUAGACUGGGAUAACAGAGGGAAACUUCUGAUAAUACUGGAUAAGUUAGUAUAUCGCAUGAUAUGCAAAUGAAAGCUACGGCACUAAAGGAGAGCUUUGCGUCCUAUUAGCUAGUUGGUAAGGUAAGAGCUUACCAAGGCGAUGAUAGGUAGCCGGCCUGAGAGGGUGGACGGCCACAAGGGGACUGAGAUACGGCCCUUACUCCUACGGCGGGAGGCAGCAGAC
rnacentral:rRNA from 1 species